UAUCAAACUAAUCACGCCCCCUUUUUAUCUGCGUUCGUAAUCGCUCUGUCAACAACUUCAAAAACAAACCCUAGAUUUUCUAAAUCAAAAUCCUCAUGGCAAUCGACGCCGAUCAGAAACCUUCACGCACUACCAAACACCACCGUAACUCCGCCGACGAAUCCGAGAGAACCUCCAAGCGCCACAAGCACCGUCACCACCACCACCGCCGUCACAAACACCACCACCGCUCUAAAAAACACGACGAUAUCGAAAUUAAAGAUGUCGCGGAUGUCGAGAAUGCGUCAGCGCCUGUUCCUCCUCUGGCUGUUGUGUCCAAUGGUAAUUGGCAACCGGAUUACGAUAUGGAAGAAGGCGAGAUUGUCGAUGACGAUCGCGACGACACGGAUAAGAAGUUGGAUUGUUCCAUUCAAUUGACGGAGGCUGGGGGGGUUGCACUUGACGGGGAUGGCUUUAAUGUAGAGGACCAGAACAAGAAAGGUGGUAGCGACGUGAAUGUGAUGGGAGAGGUUGAUAGUGGUGCUGUUUUCAAAGAUGAAUCAAUGAUUGUUGGAAAAGGAGGAAGUAGUUUGGAGACUGAGUUAUGUGAUUCAGUUGACUUGCAAAGAAGUUCAAGUGUGGAACAUCAUGUCAAUGGUGGAAUUGUUAAAGACAAGAAUAACAAGUAUUUGUCAUCUUCACGAUGUGAAGUAUUGGAAAUAAGGAUGGAGAACAGAAUUGAUGAAAAUGAAUCCAUUGGCGUCAGGAAAUCAUCUCAGCCCGAAACUCCAAUUGAGAGACGUAAAGCUUUUGAGUAUUCUCCGUCACAAGGACGAUAUAAUGAAAAGUAUCGCAGGACGAGUAGAUCAACAUCACGUGAAGGAGAUAGGGAAAGGUCACGAUCGCAAAGCAUUAUUCAUGAUGUGCCACUUUUGCAUACACAUCACCCGGAUGCUGCAUAUGAUACAGAGAGGAAGAGGACGUUAGGUUCUGAUGAAGAAACUAUAAGUAAACACCAAAGGGAUGGCUGCGUGCGGAGCAGAGACUUGUCAAGGGAUAAAAGAAGGGAGCGCAGUUUAAGCUAUGGUAGCAGACAUGGUGUACGCGUGGACGUCCACAUUCAGGAGACUUCUGAUUGUAAUAGAGAUAUAAAUUCGGACGAUCGAGAAGUUGUUGAGGAAAAAGAUAGAAAUAGAGAGAGGAAGAGGGAGGAUAAGAGAGAGAGGGAGAGAAGCAGGGAGAUGGAAAAGAACAGAGAGAGGGAGAGAAGCAGGGAGAUGGAAAAAAACAGAGAGAGGGAGAGAAGCAGGGAAAAAAAUAGAGAGAGGGAGACUGAGAGGUACAGAGAGAGGGAGCGGAAAAGGGACAGGAGUAAGGAGAGGGAGAGGGAGCGGAGGGACAGGAGUAAUGAGAGGGAGAGGGAGAGAGAGAGGAUCAGGGAGAGAGCUAGAGAUAGGAGGGGGAGAGAGGGAGAAAGAAGGGACAAAGAAAGAAAUAGAGAUAGGGAGAAAGAGGAUGAUCAGGAUAUCAGCUACCGUAAAUAUUAUGAUGCUGAUAACAUUGGCAAUCAAGAAAGGCGUAAUGAUCACAGGCGCCAGAGGUCAGAUGAUAAGGAGUACAGGGACAGAGUAAGGAAAUAUGAAAAUGAACAGAUUCAAAGCUAUGAGACUGAUCAUUUGGAGAGGAGCACUCAAAAAUUACACAGAGAUGAUGUUGAAGAAGAAGAUUAUAAAGAAACAAUUUUUAUGCAACCUGCUGAACAGGAAGAAGAAGAUCUUAGCAGGAUUAAAGAGGAGAGUAGAAGGCGGAGACAAGCCAUCCUUGAAAAAUACAAAACUCAGCAGUCACAACAGAAGCAUGAGUUGAAGCCAGAUGAGACGGUUCUGGAGAGUGCUAAGAAGCCAUCCAAAUCAGCGGAAGAAACUCAUAGUGGUCAGAAUGAAUCAACGGACAUUUUCCUCAAUGACGCAUCAUUUUCCCUUGGCAAGUCUCCUGAACAAAUGGUGGUUCCUGGAUUGAAGAUUUCUGGAACUGGGACACUGGGAGAGGGCACUCCAAAGAGUGAAAGAUCAGAAGACAUGUUUUGUGAUGAUAUAUUUGGGGAUUCUCCUGCUGGAGUACGCAAACAGGGCAAAGAAAAUGGAUUAAAAAUCGAAAGGAGCGGUCUUCAUGAUAAUUGGGAUGAUGCCGAGGGGUAUUAUAGCUAUCGCUUUGGAGAAGUACUUGAUGGCCGGUACGAAGUUAUUGCUGCUCAUGGGAAAGGUGUAUAUUCAAAUGUUGUUCGUGCAAGGGAUCUGAAGGCUGGAUCUGGUGAUCCAGAAGAGGUGGCAAUUAAAAUCAUACGCAGUAAUGACACAAUGUACAAAGCCGGUCUCGAGGAAUUGGUUAUUUUAAAGAAGUUGGUUGGUUCUGACCCGGAGGACAGGAGACAUUGCGUUCGUUUUCUUUCAAAUUUCAAGUACAGAAAUCAUCUUUGUCUGGUUUUUGAAUCUCUUCAUAUGAAUCUUCGCGAGGUGCUAAAAAAGUUUGGUCGUAAUAUUGGACUAAAACUAACAGCUGUGAGAACAUAUGCAAAACAACUCUUUAUUGCGCUGAAGCAUCUGAAAAAUUGUGGGGUUCUUCAUUCCGACAUUAAGCCAGACAAUAUGCUGGUAAAUGAGGCCAAAAAUGUGCUAAAGCUUUCUGACUUUGGGAAUGCUAUGUUUGCUGGGAAAAAUGAAAUCACACCAUACCUUGUGAGCCGCUUUUAUCGUGCCCCUGAGAUAAUUCUGGGCCUGCCUUAUGACCAUCCCAUGGAUAUUUGGUCAGUUGGCUGCUGUUUAUAUGAACUUUAUACAGGAAAAGUUCUUUUCCCUGGUCCUUCAAAUAAUGAUAUGCUUCGCCUUCACAUGGAACUGAAGGGUCCUUUUCCAAAAAAGAUGAUUCGAAAGGGAGCAUUUACAGAUCAGCACUUUGACCAGGAUAUGAAUUUUCUUGCCACAGAGGAGGAUCCUGUUACAAAGAAGGCUAUAAAAAGGCUUAUACUUAAUAUCAAGCCGAAAGAUAUUAGUACUAUAAUUGUGGGUUCUGCUGGUGAAGAUCCAAAGAUGUUGGCCAACUUUAAGGAUAUUCUUGAAAAAAUAUUUGUGUUGGAUCCAGACAAGAGGAUUACGGUCUCACAGGCACUGAGCCAUCCGUUCAUCACGGGCAAGUGAAUCUUGAAGCUGAUUUCUGACUUCAAGAAUCCUGCUGCCCUCGAUAAUUGUAUAUAAUGAUUUAAUCUAUAUUCAGUUCUCUAAUCUCUGAGAUUUUUCUCUGUCCACAUCUUCUGUCUGGCUUAAAAGCUUCAGAUACAGUUCCCAUACUUGUUGGAGUCCGCGGUUGGUUGGGGCUGUUUUCUUGGCGGUUCUUUCAUUGGAUUUUUUCUAUUGAUUCUAAAUGACAGAGCUUUGAAGCUACAUUCAGUGCUCUAGAUUGCUUUUAAAGGCAGUAUGGAGAAGGUACCUUGAUUGCUUAUUAGGAUUUGUUAUGGCACUUGUAAAGUUCUGUAGUUUGUUGUCCACACAAGUAGUUACUUUUAGUUUGCUUAAUUUCUCUUUAGUGAGCAUUAGAGUAGAUCAAAAUUAUUGCCCCGGCCCUGCCCUGCCCCUGCUUUUAAGUUAAUUGUAAUAAAUUCUGUAACUCCGAAUAUGUUCUGUGCUAAUUACAGACAAUACCGUGUGUGUUUGUAUUGUCCGAUGAGUAAUUAACUUCCUUAAGAAAUAUGCUACAUUGCUUGCUUUCUUGUGUUUUCUGAAAUUUGAACUUACCCACUGUUUGUAUUCUAAUAAUUUUGCAUUAUAUCUGAUCCAUGGCUGGCCAUCUGGAUUGAGGUCACUCGGGGAGGUUUCAUGCCGCCGUAUCAAACUGAAGUUAUUUUUCAGUUACAUAUCCUCAUGACCUCGUCUAUCUUCAAUUCCUGUAAGUAUAUCUGUUUUUUUUUCUAUUGGGAUCAAGUCUAGAAAUGUGUCUGUUAUAUAGUGGAUGCUCUAUAAACUAUCUGAGACAAUUUCAUCAGUGGCAUGUAAUUGUAACAUUGAGUUUGUGAUGUCCAGUCUAACUAAAAGUCGUGUUCUAUUAAAAUCAUAUUUUUCACUUUAAGAGUUACUUGUUGAAGUAUGAAAGUUUCUCUUUUGCUGGAAUAUGAAACGUACUAUGAAUCUUACGAGGAAUUCACUUUUUAUUAUAUUAUAUGUUUAAAUCCUUACAACUUGGUGAGCCAAUUUCUGUUAUUUUGUUUCAUAUAGUAUGGUUGUUUUUAGCUUGCUACCUUCUGUAAGUGUUAUAUUCGAUUUAGGAUGAUUGCUUUCCCUUCCCUUACUUCACCAAAUAAAAGUGUGAUUUCAUUCUGUGAUUCUGCAACUGAACAAUUUUACAGUGACCUAUACUGCUUGUUGCACCAACUUUGAUUUAUCUUCUCUAAUACUUUCUAGCCAAAACCUAUUUAUCAACGUCUAUCCAGGAUUACAAUCUCAACAGAUAUUCUCACAACAGAAAGUUAAAGGGGAUUUUUUUGUGAAUGUGGACUCUAAAAUAGAGCAUAAAGUAGUCUCAUUAGUUCAUUACCAGGGUUCACACAGAGCAAUAGAGAUAUUAUUGAGGAACGUAAGUAAAGAUACGACAUAUUUUAUAUUAUUUAUAAUAUAGUCUAUAAAUCUGCUUACACAUAUUAUUCAGAAAGGAAAGAUAUUUGGCUUCUUUUUGUAAGAUUAUUAAUAUUAAGCCCCAUAAAGUAUGGGUCAGUCCAUAGGAUUUUAUUAGCAGUAUUUAUACUUCACAUUGGAUCCUAAAUUUCCUUAGAACUGGUUUAUAUACAAUUAUUUGAUAUCAAUAUUUUUUGUGGUAGUGUAUUUUUUGUGUUCAAUCCACCCUAGGCUAUCUUUUUGUUGUUUCUGGUGUCAUAUAUCAUUGUUCCUGCAAGUUGUCCCGCAUCCAAUCGGCAUCAGAGCCGAAUUCUUGGGAGGUUUGGACAUUGAAUUAAUAAAAAUUCACUGCUGCAUUUAUUUUCUGUAAGUUAGUGAAAGUCAAUUCAUUAAUAGGAAUCCACCUGCAGUUUAGUUUCCAUCAUAUCUGCUGCUACUACCAUCAGAAUUAACAACCAGAAUAAAGUUCCCUUUGUUUCACUCUCUACCUCUCUUUUCGCUCCCUGCAAACAUAAUAGAGGCUGCUGCUACUGUGUUAAGCUUGGUAAAUUUUCUAUUUUCAGUGCAUUUUUUUGUUGGGGCUGAACUUACAUGUGUUUGGGCCAGCUCAACUCAUUACACCAUUUUUGUGCAACUUUUGCACUAUUUUUGAUGCCAAAAUUACACCAUUCACAAAUCCUACCCACCUACACAUAAUAUUACACCAAACAGAAUCUUUUAUUUAUAACAAGAUAGAUUCUUCUAAACUUUUCAAAUUUAUUUAUUUUUUGGGAUAUAAUAGGGGGAUAGAAAUGUUACAUAGAUGGAAUAAAUUUGUUAUAUCAACAAACAUGAGGGUGUACUUGGAAUUUUGAAAAUUUCUAUAAUGGUUCAAAAAAUACACCAAAUUUGGUGUGUAAAAUUUUUACGCCAAUAUGAGUUGCACUGGAGUUGAUUUUACACAAAAAGUUACACUUUUAUAAAGUUUUAGUGUUGGAUUGGAGAUGCUCUACCCCAGCCAGUCUGCCAUCAUUAGUAUCUGUUAAACGGCGGUUUAGUACCUAUUACUUUCUGAAUUCACAAGCUGUUCCCCCGAAUUACUUCAAUUUAUAAAUUUCAUUAGUCCACAAUUUGCUUUGCAAGGUGCCAAUGCUAGACCUUUUUCACCCCAUACCAUCCAAGAUUAUGUGGACUGUUGUAUAUUUCUUGUUAUUUUAUAAAUGCAUCUUUCAGCAAACUUGCUCAUAUGUCAUACAACUUGAGAAUUGGUUAUUGUCGUGUUACUUGAGUCAUGGCCCUUGAAUAUUGUUGUGGUUUUAGUGCUCCCCCUCUCCUUCCCAUUUUCACUUGUAAAAGCCUGCAACUGUUUGUAUUUUAAAGAUGUAUCUCGUCUUUAUGUAUUUGUAAAUAUAUACAUCUGGAUUUCACUCUUGAUGUUUCUUUGACUAGAAUUUGUUUAUGCUGCUACUUUGAUGAGGAUGUCUUGGUUAUAACCUAUUUUAUUCCUAUUAACUUUAAGUGCUAAGGGUUGUGGUAUGGAAUUAUUUUGGGGAUUGGAAUUCUUGGGGCGUGGUUAUUUAAAGAAAAUUUGUAGAAAUUGUAGCUUGUGUGUAUAUAUUAUUAUCUUGUUGUCAAGUUAGGCAGCAGCGCAAGCAAAGCCGAACAAGUCAUCAGCACUGAACAGUGGUAAUAUUUGUGUUCUUCAUAUGUACUGCUGUUUGAGGAUGCAGUUCUGUAAUCCUGCCUCUCUUUUUCUGUGCUGGAAAAGUGUUCUUGUAUGUAAACAAACCGACGAAGGCUUUUCUGAAGCAGUCCAGCUUCAGUAUAGACUUCUGAGGGUGUGAUAUCUGUUUUUUUUUGUCAUAGGGGGGAGAUAUCUGUUUUUUUUUUUUUUUGUCAUAGGGGUGAGAUAUCUGUUGACUAUAUCAUCACUUACCUGUAUGCGAAACCUUUAAUUUGUUAAAGUUAUAGGCUCCAGAAUCCUAUUUUGGUAUCAACUAUUAAUACAAGUUCGUGUAACUUGUGAAACAAUUGUAGUCCACUAAUUGUUCUGACCCUGUAGUGCAAGUAGCUUGAGCUGCCUUUUGUUU